CCUCUCUGAAGUUAUUAUUGAUUAAGCGGUCAGGGGCCAAGGAGGCAGGACCUUUCCACGCUCGGUGCUGGAAUCAGAGGAGGCUUUCUGGCAAUGCAGUGGGCCACGCCAGGGACCCUAGAGCUGGCAGGCUUCCAGGUGCCUGGUGCUAAUGAGCUCUGAAGCCUACAGCUUUGACCAGAAACACGUCCCCUGCAGGCUGUUUGUCCUCUGCUGGGACUGGCUGCCACCAGCUUCCUCUGGACUGAUGAGCCCAGAGACAAGGAUGCUGGCAGCUCUUUGUUUCUUAGCCUGAGGCUUGUGUUGGCCUUCAAGGCUUUUGCCUGUGAUAUUCAGAGCCUUGGAAGAAAGCUGGCUUCCAUUUGCCUGGAGCACAAGGGGCCAGUGGCUCCUAGAAGUGACUCAUGGGCUGUGGAGUCAAAGGAAAACCACUCAACUCUAAGUUCCAAAUGGGCAGGGAUCACAUUCAGCUUGCUGACCCCAUGACCCCAUAAGCAUCUAGCACUUAUUAGGUGCUAAACAUUUACUCACCAAAUAUUCUGCUACAAGCCUGUAAGAACACUGGCUGUAAAGGACUUCCUUCUUUAAGGCACCACAUUUCACCUCUCCCCAAUUGCUCCUGCUUUGUUCAAACUCUAACCAAAUCUGCUGACUUUAGAUGCUAAUGUGGUCAAAUGAAGUUGGAAAAUAAUCAAUACCUUUAAAGUCCUCACUAUAGAUAGGAAGUGCACCAGGUGAACCACACGCAUUAUCUAAUUUUACCCUUGUAACAACUUAGUGAAAUAGGUAUUUUCAUUAUCCCCAUUUCACAGAUGAUGAAAGCUGAGGCACAGAGUGGUUAAAGGAGCAUGUCCAAGAUGACAUAGCUGGCAUCAGGUUGGGGAUUAAAACUCAGGUUUGCCUGACCUCAGAUCCAGCCACCCAAGGUAAUACAUUUACAUGGGAUUCCCAGAUUCAAAAUUCAGAGGAGUCUUUAACAGGCUAAUAUCAGUUGUGAGUCACAAAGAAGGGGUGUUUCCUAAAAUCAUUUGACCCUUCCAUUUUAUUUUCUGGGCACACUUGUUAACAUCUCCUGACAGCAUUUAGGGAAUGGCUGUUUGGAGGUAAUUAAACAGAGCAAGUGAUAAUGUCCUUAAUUAAUCCAAUUCACUCUCUUUCAUUUGUGCUUAUUUCCUUAUAUUGGCAAUAGCUUCAACAGGGGGUCUCUAACAGUCAAAUCCCUGGUUACUCCUCUUGACUCCAGAAACAGCAUCAACACCAAAAGGGGCAUUUGCAAAGAGAAUCUGAGUUUGUGUUACUGCUUUGCACCAAUCCGAGAUGUGUUGCUGUCUGACACAGCAGAGGCUUGGCAUGAAUUUUGAGCCAAGGCUGCUGCACGCACACAAACACAUACACACACAGAAAGACACACACACUCACUCACUCUGAUGAAUCAGACCUUACCAUGGGACUUUGCCCUUUUGUUUAAAAUAUUAUGGAGUCACAGGACUUCAAAGUCAUCCUUCUGAUAUCUUUUCUUGCACCCACGACUGACUUGGUGUGUGAAAAUGGUGUGCUUCGAAGGUGGGGGCUUCACCUAUCUGCCUGCUCUUUCUCUCCCUCAGUAUCUAGCAGUGGUUGGACACAGAGGUGCCCAACAGAUGACUGGUCCGUGGAUCUUCUGCAUUCAUCAGAACUGCUAUCAUCAUUAUCCUCAUGGCUAUCAUUUAUUGUCUUCCAUGUGUAGACAUAGGGCUUCAUGCAAUGGAGCCAACAAUGAGCACACAUGGGCCGGUUGCUGGCUACCUGUUUUAUAAAUAAAGUGUUAUUAAACACAGUCAUGUCCAUUCCUGCAUGUGCUGUCUGUGGCUGCUUUAGUGCUGCAGUGGCAGAGUUCAGUAGUUGGGAUGGAGACUCUAUGACUCUGAAAAGCCUAAAAUAUUUCCUAUCUGGCCCUUUUCAGAAAGUUUGCUGACUCCUGCUUCAUACACAUACACAAGGUCUUCUAAUGCUUGUGGCAACCUUGAAAAGAAGUGUGCCCAGUUCGCAGGUGAGAAGAUUGAGGCUCAGGGAGAUUAAAGAGUUUCCCCAACUGAUAAGUGGUAGUUCUGCCUCUCCAGAGACACCUCUAUGCUUCCCAUUUUGUAAUACCACAGAAAAUUGAGAACAGACUGAAUUUUUUCACCUUAUUUUUCAACUAAGUCUUCGGAGUAUCUGGGGUUGAUUCUACUGGGGGCUGGUAGGGCACUGCCAGCCUAAAAUUGCCAGAGAAGGCAGGCAGCAUGCCUGGCUAGUUUGUAGCUGGAGGGGACUGUUAAUCUCCACAUGGAUACACAGAUUCUUUCCUGGAGAUCAAAGGUGUCUGGAGCAGCUGAUUCAUCAACACCUUUGAAGUAUGCUGCCAAUUUAACAAAGACAAAUUAAUUUCUUUAGCUUCUCAGCCGCUGGUGGUUUUAACACACACUGUUAGUUAUUUUAGCUGGAAAGUCUUCCCUAUCUUUCUUUACACCAUGAAUCCCUAGAGCUGUCCAAAUCUUUGGUGACUUAUCUAUGCAGGGGAGGUAUGAUGGGUGAUAAUGUGUCCUGUGGUGGUUGUGUCAAUGGUGGUAGUGAGGGCAGUGAGUAUUCCUGUCUCUGGAAUGAGGCUCAGUUGAGAUAGCCUCACAGUUGAUGUGGUGCUUGUACCAUUUCCAUUUAUGUUAGGCACAUCCUGCAAAGCUAAUAACUAAACCCAGGUUUUACCCAUUUCCCUUGAUUGAUUGAUUGAUUGAUUGGACUUAUAACUAUCUUCAUACUGGAAGUAUUGAAAUAAGUAUGACAUUAUGUAUUAAAAAUUGGGCUUUUUGGAAAAUAGGCAGUGACAUGAAAUCAAGAUUGUCUUGGAAAAUCAGGGACACAUCUUUUUAAGUACCUUUAAGGCAAUUUUAAGGUAUUUCUUAGGGACAUUUAGAAAUAUAGUCUCCAAGAAAGGCCAUUUUGACCUAGUGAGUAUUCCAUGGUAACAGGAAUUUCAGAGUUCACGUCUAAGGGAAGACCAGGAAACUGUGAAUGCAUAUGUGUUGUGGGUCCCUGACUAAUGGGGACUUUGCUCUUCUGAGACAAUGGGAUCUUGGAUUCUGUGCAAGACAGUUUUCUAUACGUUGUUUCCUUGAAGCUGCAUACAAA